ACCACCAUGAUAAUGCAUCAAAACGAAAUUUACUACUAGCAAUUUGGACCUUACGACUAUCUAGUACAUGGAAGCAUGUGAAUUGUUCAGUUAAAACUAGCUCCCAAUCUAUAUACGUUUCAGCAUCAUUUUCCCCCUCAAAGAAAGGUACACACAAUUUAAUUGUAUUACAAGGAUUGUUUUGUACCGUUGCCGUGGCAUUAUCAACAAGAGACGUGGAGGAUGGCCGUGGUGAAAAGCACUCAUCGCGGUCAUGGGAUAGCAUCGGUCUAGUUGCCAUGCUUCGUGUAAGUCCUGUCAUGGUUAGUAGAAAACAAGAAACAAAUCACAGUAAUAUGUUCCUAUCAACUACUAGGAUGUGGCUACAAGUCGCUCAACUCUCAAGCUAAAAAUCAAGUUCUUACAAGUUCUUACCAUGCAAAGCAGGAAGGUGAUGGCCAGCGGCGUGACCAAGCCCUCCGAAUAUUAGAUGUAUCGAUGCCUCGGUAACAAACCAACCUAGGUGUAGAAUCUGUGGAGCUUGGAGGCUUUUGUGAGUAGCAAGGAAUAGCAAAUAAUCAAAUCAGCAAUGCAAAAUUGAAAAUAUGCUCAAUAAUGCUAGUCCUAACUGCUGGAGUCGAUAAGAACGAAUUACAGAAAUAAUCUAAGCCUAGAUACUGAAGAAGGUAGGAUAAAAAGAUGGCACAACAAGUAAAUCCCUAGGAUUUUUUUUUCUUUUUUUCUUCUUUUUGUGGCCUUCUCUUUGGCUUCUUAUUCUUUUCUUCUUUUUUCUUUUUUAACCCCAGAAACUCACGCAAAAGAAGGACCGGAAAACUGUACGUCGGUCUGUCGAAGAACAGCACAGGCUGCAGUAAGAAAAAUUCAGAAAAAUAUGAAAAAAUAUAGGUUAGAAGGGUAUCGACACAAGCUUUCCAGCAAGGGCAAGAUCACUCAAAACGGAUGUUGGACGGUGGAGAAAACUGAGAAACACCGGGCUGCAGCAACGCCGGAAAACGGAUACAGAAACUUGGAAGCUCCAAAAGUCCACCUUACAAACCGAAUUUGAGGGUCAAAGUGCAGGGCAAGGCGCUGGAUAUUUUCUGAUGCGCCUCGUCGUGAGCUUUCCAAAAAGUCCAAGAACGUCCAAAUCCGAGUUGGUACGCAAAAGAUAUGCCCGUUUUACUAAACACGGGUCAAACCCACCCGAAACUAAAAUUCUACUCGGACUCGGGUCCGAAACUGACUCGAACUCGGGUCCGAAACUGACUCGAACUCUUUCUCUUUUUUUUUCCUUUUUCUUUCUUUCUUUCUUUCUUUUUUUUUCUUUCCUUUCUUUUUUUUUCAACUUUCCAAACAACUUGAUCUCUAAACAAAAUUCGAUCUAUGAUGAAACACUUUCCAAAAGCACUCCUUAUUGGACUCGGACUCGAACUCGCGGCUGAAAACUAUUACUUGCCGACUCGAUGUAGAACUCGAAGAGGGACUCGGUGUAGGACUCGAAGAGGGACUCGGUGGAAGAUAUGGUGGCGGCGGGAGAUUAUGGCGGUGGUGUGGCAAGAAAUUUGGCGGCGGAAGAUUGAUGAAGGAAACCUGCGUCACACGAAGAACAAGAAAACCAAAAGCAAGUUCGAUCUACUAGAAAAAAUUCUGAAAAACGAUCCAAUCUAAUCCAGCAACUCGACACGAUUAAUGCAGCAAAGAUUCAACAAUGCAAAUACUAAAGCGAAAAUUGCAAGGCUCAGAUUGGUUCUAGGACAAGGUAACGAAUUCUAAUUUUUAUUUGGCUUUUUCUGGACGAUAGGUAAAAACAGAUCUACACUACGGAUAAACUGGAAAAAUGUCACCGAGCAACCUUAAGCUCUGAUAUCACGUGAUAUGGGUGGGGUGGCCCGAUCUUUCGAUGAGAUGGAUAACUCUCGAUUUGGGUAGGAGGUGACGUUGACGAUCCGACUACGGCCUAGAAGGCAGCGUCUUAGCAAUCGAUACACCAACUUUAGAGGGUUAUUGAUCACGCGGGGGCACGAUCAACCUGACCACGAAGGUCUUUGUUCCUGCAAGCAAUCGAAGAACAAGCAAGAACAAGAUAAAUAGCGGAUGCAAUCUGAAAUUGCGAAUAUACUAUAUCAAACCAAUGUCUCAACGAGACGAUAAGUUGGAGUCUUGACGACGGUAAAACAGGUGGUCUAACCGACAGAUUACACGAAAGUAGCA
rnacentral:lncRNA from 1 species